rnacentral:pre_miRNA from 1 species
AAGAUACUCCCUCCGUCCCAAAAUUCUUGUCUUAGAUUAGUCUAGAUACGGAUGUAUCUAAUACUAAAACGUGACUUGAUACAUCCGUAUUUAGACAAAUUUAAGACAAGAAUUUUGGGACGGAGGGAGUACUAU